UACGUAGGGGGCAAGCGUUGUCCGGAUUUAUUGGGCGUAAAGAGCGUGUAGGCGGCCAGACAGGUCUGCUGUGAAAACUCGAGGCUCAACCUCGAGACGCCGGUGGAAACCGUCUGGCUAGAGUCCGGAAGAGGAGAGUGGAAUUCCUGGAUGUAGCGGUGAAAUGCGCAGAUAUCAGGAAGAACACCCGUGGCUAAGGCGGCUCUCUAGUACGGUACUGACGCUGAGACGCGAAGCGUGGGAG
rnacentral:rRNA from 1 species